CACGUAGGAAUAUAUUAUUUUCAAUAUGCCACCAUUGUGUAACGAAGUAUUUAAGGUCAUCUUCGGGCAGGCUGCGACACUAGUUCUUGUGUGUACGAAAGCUAUGGCAAAGAUACGCGCAGUGAACAUCUUGGUCAUUUUGACCGUAUUGGCCCUUCUGUCCACAGCUCAACAAGGAGUCGAUGCAGCUAAGCCAGGAGGUUCAGGUGGGAAACCGCGUGGAGCAGGACCUCACGGCGGGCCAGGGCGAUCUAGGCGAGUUAAUAUCACUACGACCCCUUCGUGGAGUCGCCCAAAAUAACACCUGGACAUGGACAACAGCUCUGAGAAGAAUUCAACGAGAAUCUUCGUGCAGUGAACUCAAACUGGAGCUGAAGAAACAAGCUACAGAUUUAAAUAAAAAUGGUUCAUACGUCUUGGCACCCAGUCCAGGGAAAACUGCGUACAAGCGCUCACCUAGUACUGCCUAGUUAUGGGUUACUGCGUGCCAGCUGUUUGUUUACGUGAUGUUGUAUAAAAUGGAAGUAUUCGCUCAAGAUUGUUUACCCAUAGAAAUCCUUAUUACGCAACAUGCGAUUGCCAUCCGUGGCAACUUCUGCUUGUAAUAAAUUUUUGUUUCUGUUUUGUUUACGGA